UACGAAGGGGGCUAGCGUUGCUCGGAAUCACUGGGCGUAAAGGGUGCGUAGGCGGGUCUUUAAGUCAGGGGUGAAAUCCUGGAGCUCAACUCCAGAACUGCCUUUGAUACUGAGGAUCUUGAGUUCGGGAGAGGUGAGUGGAACUGCGAGUGUAGAGGUGAAAUUCGUAGAUAUUCGCAAGAACACCAGUGGCGAAGGCGGCUCACUGGCCCGAUACUGACGCUGAGGGACGAAAGCGUGGGGAGCAAACAGG
rnacentral:rRNA from 1 species